rnacentral:tRNA from 1 species
GCCGGAGUGGUGGAAUUGGUAGACGCAGUGGACUCAAAAUCCACCGGGGUUCGGCCCCUUGCGAGUUCGAGUCUCGCCUCCGGCACCA